rnacentral:rRNA from 1 species
GACAGCAGUCGCCGCGGUAAUACGGAGGGUGCAAGCGUUAAUCGGAAUUACUGGGCGUAAAGCGCACGCAGGCGGUCUGACAAGUCAGAUGUGAAAUCCCCGGGCUUAACCUGGGAACUGCAUUUGAAACUGUCAGGCUGGAGUCUUGUAGAGGGGGGUGGAAUUCCAGGUGUAGCGGUGAAAUGCGUAGAGAUCUGGAGGAAUACCGGUGGCGAAGGCGGCCCCCUGGACAAAGACUGACGCUCAGGUGCGAAAGCGUGGGGAGCAAACAGGAUUAGAUACCCCGGUAGUCCCUGUCUCUUAUAA